AAAAUAUAAAAUUGUAUCAUUCUGAACUUUUGCCUUUCAUGUAUAUUACCGAAAGGAUGCACACAUGUUUUUCUUCUUCUGUGAUCUCCUGUGAUCAUUAAUUCUGAAAGAAAUCUGCUGUGAUCAUUAAUUCUGAAAGAAAUCUGAAUAAUUGCCAGAGUGAGGAGGAAAAAGAUUGAUUUAUAUUUUCCGCUACUUGUCAAUAUGAUGGCCCGUUGUAAAUAAAUGAGUCCUGGCCAUCACUUAUACUUGGGAACUACUUUUCAGUGAUAGCUGUAUUGACUAAGGGAACUACAGCGGGCUUAUGCCUACUGAACUAUAUUCGAAACUAUCAGAGUGUAUAGCAGAUUAGAGCAGAUUACAGCAGCCUUAAAGGUAAAAUGAUGUGCACAUUUUUUUCCACAAUACAUAGCUGAUUCGUUGUUUGUCAAAGCUCUUGUGGAUAAUCAGACAUGGGGUGCAUGGCAAAAUUAGGACAGACUGAAGGCAGCGGAUUCCGCGUUGGCCGUGCACUUUGAGGAGAAGACAUUGUCUUUGUAUAAGUGCCCCUACAAUCAUCUCUUUACAGCAGAGAUAAGGCCUUCAGAUAGAUAUGGCCGCAUAAAUCGCACCGAUGGAUCCAGUCCUUCGCUAGGUCCAACCUACCCCGCACCAGCCUCAAGCACGUGAGACACUGUUACCUUGUGUUUUACUCCCUCCGUUCCAAAACCACGACGAGUAAUUUGGAACGGAGGGAGUAACUGGUUACCACAAUCGAAUCCAUUUUUGCCCAGUUAAAUUAGUUAGCUCAUUUUGUUGAUAACUGAGUUGCAUUGGUAAUAUAUACUGAACUGUCUUUGGCAUUCUGUUUUGCAAUAUAUUCUACUCCCUCCGUCCCAUAAUAUAAGAGUGUUUUUUACACUACACUAGUGUAAAAAACGCUCUUAUAUUAUGGGACAGAGGGAGUAAUUGUCAGGAUUUUUGCUACAUUUUUGGUGUGUAGAUUUUAGGGACAUUAAUGUAGUGCUAAUGCCUUCCGUGCAGGUUAUUCAGUCAACGCAUAUUCUGUCUUUUGGCAUGUGUGUGCUUGCUCUUGUGCUCAUGUUGUAAUCGUGACCUGUAAUCAGUCCAUGAUCCUUGUGUGACCAGAAGUUGGGCAUAACUGCAUUAUUACUGAGAAGAUGUGAAUAUUAACUUAGGGAUCGGAGCUGAAGCUCUAGCCGAUAGCAAAGAUAUAAAGUCUGUGCUCUGUCUUAUGUUUGCAAGUAUAUUGAUGUAACUUCACAUCUUGCCCCCGUAUUGGGCAGAUGCUUCAGAAUGGAGUCACUCCUAUGUGUAUUGCCGCUGUAAUCACACAACAUGAAUUUUACCUUUUUGUGAUCAGAAAUUCUGCCAAGAAACUUGUUGGAUUAA